rnacentral:miRNA from 1 species
GGCUUAUGCCGACGUGGCUAC